rnacentral:tRNA from 2 species
GCCUCCUUAGCUCAGCUGGUAGAGCAACUGAUUUGUAAUCAGUAGGUCGCUGGUUCGAAUCCGGCAGGGGGCU